ACGAACGCUGGCGGCGUGCUUAACACAUGCAAGUCGAACGGAAAGGCCCUGCUUUUGUGGGGUGCUCGAGUGGCGAACGGGUGAGUAACACGUGAGUAACCUGCCCUUGACUUUGGGAUAACUUCAGGAAACUGGGGCUAAUACCGGAUAGGAGCUCCUGCUGCAUGGUGGGGGUUGGAAAGUUUCGGCGGUUGGGGAUGGACUCGCGGCUUAUCAGCUUGUUGGUGGGGUAGUGGCUUACCAAGGCUUUGACGGGUAGCCGGCCUGAGAGGGUGACCGGCCACAUGGGGACUGAGAUACGGCCCAGACGCCUACGGGAGGCAGCAGUGGGGAAUAUUGCACAAUGGGCGGAAGCCUGAUGCAGCAACGCCGCGUGCGGGAUGACGGCCUUCGGGUUGUAAACCGCUUUCGCCUGUGACGAAGCGUGAGUGACGGUAAUGGGUAAAGAAGCACCGGCUAACUACGUG
rnacentral:rRNA from 1 species